rnacentral:rRNA from 1 species
UUGGAGGGCAAGUCUGGUGCCAGCAGCCGCGGUAAUUCCAGCUCCAAUAGCGUAUAUUAAAGUUGUUGCAGUUAAAAAGCUCGUAGUUGAAUUUCGGGGUCAGCAGGUUGGUCGUGCCACUGGUAUGAACUGGCCUUGCUGAUUCCUCCUUCUUGAAGAACCGUGAUGCCAUUAAUUUGGUGUUGCGGGGAAACAGGACUGUUACUUUGAAAAAAUUAGAGUGUUUAAAGCAGGCUCACGCUUGAAUACAUUAGCAUGGAAUAAUAAAAUAGGACGUUUAUCCUAUUUUGUUGGUUUCUAGGGUUGACGUAAUGAUUAAUAGGGAUAGUUGGGGGCAUUAGUAUUCAAUUGUCAGAGGUGAAAUUCUUGGAUUUAUUGAAGACUAACUACUGCGAAAGCAUUUGCCAAGGAUGUUUUCAUUAAUCAAGAACGAAAGUUAGGGGAUCGAAGACGAUCAGAUACCGUCGUAGUCUUAACCAUAAACUAUGCCGACUAGGGAUCGGAUGAUGUUAAUUUUUUAAUGACUCAUUCGGCGCCUUACGGGAAAC